rnacentral:tRNA from 1 species
GGGCCCGUGGCGGAAUGGUAGACGCUGCAGACUUAAAAUCUGUUGUCCGUAAGGACGUGCGAGUUCAAGUCUCGCCGGGCCCACCA